UGAGAGAAGAACACUGAUCGUGAACUGUUUCACUUUUUCAUGUAGAAAAGAAAAUCCAGGCAAAUCCAGCAGCCGUGAUGCAGUGAGGAGUUUAGCUCAGGAAGGAGAACCGCACAUACUCUUUCACGUUAGCGUAAAGGUAGAUAAAUACAGAUAGAAAGACAGACAAGCAGGCAGACAGUGUAGAUCGUUCUGUCUGCGUUGCCCCCUCUGGCUGCUAUGGGGAACUACAGCUCUACAGUGCUGCUGCUGAGUUCUGGAUUGUGAUUGCUCAGAAGGUGUUGAUUAAUUUUCUAUAACAGCAGCUCUGACAGUAGUGCAGCUACACAUCACAGGUUUGUAUUCGUUAUAUUAUAUUUGCG
ensembl:lncRNA